rnacentral:rRNA from 1 species
AUGGCCGGCUCGCGGCGCGACGCGGACCGGAAGGAGAAGGCCCCGCCGGCGGCGCCGCCGCAGCAGCAGCCGGGGCGCGAGGAGGAGAGGGAGUGGGUGCCGUGGAUCGUGCCGGUCUUCGUGGCCGCCAACGUCGCCCUGUUCGCCGUGGCUAUGUACGCCAACAACUGCCCCGCGCACGCGCGCGGCCGCAGGAAGUGCGUCGGCGCGGGGUUCCUCCGCCGCUUCGCCUUCCAGCCGCUCAGCCAGAACCCGCUCCUCGGGCCCUCCUCCGCCACAUUGCAGAAGCUGGGCGCGCUCGUGUGGGACAAGGUGGUGCACGAGCACCAGGGGUGGAGACUCGUGACCUGCAUCUGGCUCCACGCCGGCGUCGUCCACCUGCUUGCCAACAUGCUCAGCCUCGUGCUCGUCGGGCUCAGGCUCGAGCAGCAGUUCGGAUUCGUGAGAGUCGGCGUCAUCUACCUCGUCUCCGGCGUCGGGGGCAGCGUGAUGUCGUCCCUGUUCAUCAGAGACAACAUCUCCGUGGGCGCCUCCGGUGCGCUCUUCGGGCUCCUCGGAGCCAUGCUCUCAGAGCUCUUCACCAACUGGACCAUCUACACCAACAAGGCGGCGGCGCUGGUGACGCUGCUGUUCGUGAUCGCGGUCAACCUGGCGAUCGGCAUCCUGCCGCACGUGGACAACUUCGCGCACAUCGGGGGGUUCCUCACGGGGUUCCUGCUCGGGUUCGUGCUGCUCAUGCGCCCGCACUACGGCUGGGCGCAGCGCUACGUGCUGCCGUCCUCCGUCAAGGACGUCGGCCGGAAGUUCCUGGCCUACCAGUGGGCUCUGCUCGCCGUGGCCUCGGUCCUGGUCGUCGUCGGGCUGGCGGUUGGGAUGGCGAUGCUCUUCCGAGGGGUGAACGGCAACGAGCACUGCCAGUGGUGCCACUACCUCAGCUGCGUGCCUACCGCCAGAUGGAGCUGCGGGAAAUGA